UCAGGAUGAACGCUGGCGGCGUGCUUAACACAUGCAAGUCGAACGGAGUUUUAACGGAAGUUUCGGAUGGAAGUUAGAAACUAGCGGCGGACGGGUGAGUAACGCGUGGGUAACCUGCCUCAUACAGGGGGAUAACAGUUAGAAAUGACUGCUAACACCGCAUAAUAUAGCGAAACCGCAUGAUUUUGCUAUCAAAUAUUUAUAGGUAUGAGAUGGGCCCGCGUCUGAUUAGCUAGUUGGUGGGGUAAAAGCCUACCAAGGCGACGAUCAGUAGCCGGCUUGAGAGAGUGACCGGCCACAUUGGGACUGAGACACGGCCCAAACUCCUACGGGAGGCAGCAGUGGGGAAUAUUGGACAAUGGGGGAAACCCUGAUCCAGCGAACCGCCGCGUGAGUGAAGAAGUAUUUCGGUAUGUAAAGCUCUAUCAGCAGGGAAGAUAAUGACAGUACCUGACUAAGAAGCCCCGGCUAACUACGUGCCAGCAGCCGC
rnacentral:rRNA from 1 species